CCUACGGGGGGCAGCAGUGGGGAAUAUUGCACAAUGGGGGAAACCCUGAUGCAGCCAUGCCGCGUGUGUGAAGAAGGCCUUCGGGUUGUAAAGCACUUUCAGCGAGGAGGAAAGGUCAGUAGCUAAUAUCUGCUGGCUGUGACGUUACUCGCAGAAGAAGCACCGGCUAACUCCGUGCCAGCAGCCGCGGUAAUACGGAGGGUGCAAGCGUUAAUCGGAAUUACUGGGCGUAAAGCGCACGCAGGCGGUUGGAUAAGUUAGAUGUGAAAGCCCCGGGCUC
rnacentral:rRNA from 1 species